CUCAUCUCUAGGGCUCUCCCGCCCCUCAUCCGCGUUCGCCAAUCGGCUGGGACCUCUGGGAGCGUCCCACCCGCCUCCCUUGAUCCGGGCCCGCCCCCAAGCCGCGGCCGGGAGCGGUCUCCGCCCCGCCGAAGAGCCUGUAGUUUUUGGGACCACUGCCCAGAGUGAACCCGCCGAGACUCUCUGGUUUGACUGGAGAACAGCUGUGGAGCAUCCCUUUGCUGCUGGACCAUGGGAAAUGAUAGGUGGAGAACUGAGUUAAUAAAAAGAAACAGGACUUGACAUAUAGAGAAAAAGAAGUAUGAAGAGUCACACCCCACAAUUUCAUCUUGUAAAUGAGCUCAGGAAAUGAGAAUGGAGGGAAAGCCCCUGGGGCUGACGGCCUGUGCUUCUGUCACCGCAGACAUCUGGGUUUUAAUGACAUGAUAUGAAAAGGGGGGCCCCUCCCCCCCACUGACCAACCAACCCCAGCACAUCAAGUUGCAUCAGGACUGAGCUCAUCCUCUGUGGCCUGCGGAAGGAUCCCCACCAGUGGAUGAUUCUCAGUGUUCAUUAUUUGCUCCCGUCUCCCUCCACCCUUUCUCCCCCAGCCUCAUUUUUCAUCUUUGUGUACGUGUCUGUGUGCUUAAGUGUGGGAAUAUGGACAAGUAUGUAUGCCAUAGCGUGCAAGAAGUCGACCUUGGGUGUUUGUCUCAGCUUUUACUUUGUUUGAUACAGUUUUUUGUUUGUCACUUUGUACUCCAGGUUAGCUAGCCAAUAGCUUCUGGAGAUCCUCCUGCCUCCGCCUCCAUAGGAACACUGUAAUAUGUGUUCUGGGAGUGUGAAUGUUUGUGUCUGUCUGGUAUGUGCUUCGCCCAAUGAGCCACCUCUCCAGGCAUGCGUCUUUCUUCUAUCCCGUGGAUAAAUUCUAAAUCCUCCAUUUCCAAAUUUCUACAUAAUAUGGGAAGGAGAGAAAACAAAAGCUGAUGAGUACAGAAUUGGUCUCUAGGAAAUGUUGACUCUGAACAGAAAUGUGCCUUAAGGGUCGCUUGAAGGACAACGCCCAAAAAUGCAGCUCCAUAUCUGCAACGCCUGUGUGGCUGGGCUAAAAGAACAACCUCUGUUCUCUUCUGUGGAGGAAGCAAACAGGACCUUGGAGCAAAGGAGGUAACAUUAUCCAGAAGAAGACGGAACCAGAGGAGAUAAAGCUGGUCAGCUAUGUGGCAGGAAGCUGCUGCUGCCAACACUGGAGAGAUAGAAUUAUCUAGCUGUACGAACGCCAAGAUGCCUUUAAAAAUAAACCUAAGUCAGGAGUACUGGUACAUGCCUUCAGCCUCAGCCUCAUGGGAGGCAGGCAGGAUGGAGGCUAGCAUGUACUACAUAUUAAGACUGUUGUGGCUGACUAACUCAUAUAACAAAUAAAUAAAUAGAUCCUAUAAUAAUGAUUAGAUCUAAUAAAUAACUUCAAGGCAUUUGUUGUAUAUGGUAUAUUGCAAUUCUUUCUUUACUCUCUUUUCAAAUGUUCCAUUAAGUUUGCUAGUCAUAGUCUUGAUUUGAAUGAACUUAAAUCAUUGGGAAGGGAAUACAAUGACGACAGUACUCAAUUUAUUGAUUGUACAUAGAAAGGAGCACUAGCCCCAAGAGGCAAAGGAGACUGUGCGAACCAUAAAUUUGAGAAACUUAACCCUCCAUGCUGCUCCCUACUCUUAACAAGAAACUGAUUUCCAACUAUUAUUAGGUCAGUGUAUUUAAAAGUUGGUCAUAGCUCGCUAGAGAAUUUGGAACCAUCUAGGCAACUAAUACCUCUUAUAGUAGUAUAAGUAAAUAAUAUAAUAAAUUUUAAAUAUUUAUGAACCAAGAGAACAGAAGUAGAAACUGCCAAGUUUUAAAUACAUACAUUAUUUCUUUCCACUAAUUUUUUUUGGCCUUCAAUUAAAUUUUAAUUUAAAUUCCUUAAGUUUAGAAUAAGUCAAUAACAUAGGAUUCCAGAAUCAAGCAUUUGUAAAUUUGGUGUUUAAAAGGAAGACCUAAGGUCUUUUAAACCAAAUAAGUGUAUUAUUCCUUUAAUACUGCAUUCAUAGGCAAGCUAAUGUUAGCCUGCCUAAUGUCAUAGCAUGUAAAUGAGAUGAAGAUGUAUAUUUUCAUUUAAGCGGUUCUUUUUUUAUUUUUGACAUUUUAUUAACCAUGGUUUGCAAAAUGAUAGAUUGUGACUGGAAAGGAAAUUAUAUAUUAUUCAGAUUAACCUAAUUUUCCACGACCUUCUGCAUUGAUAGGCAGAUUUUAAUACCAUUGUAAGUAUUGCAUUUGACUGACACACACUAUCAUUUGGUCCAUAGCUAACAUAUAGCACAAAAGGAAUGAAGUGAAUGAUUUCUUUUGAAGGGUUGACUGCUGACUGUGAUAACUUCUAGGGGAGAAACAAAAGAGAGUGUCAUUUGCCUACACUACUUAUUUCCCCCCCGUAUUAAAGAAUACGACAUGUCUAGCCUGUGUGGAAUUUUGAAUAAAUAAGAUUAUUUUCUUACCACCUAAAUGGUAUUAUCUGCUGCUGCUGCUUCUAACUCAAUGUUUUGUGUACAUUUGUGGAUCUGAAGAUUCAUUUUGGGUGUGUAGAAUAGUACAUAUGGUGCCCAGGGCUUGUACUACUGCUAACUUGACUAAGUGAAACAGAAUUACAUGGCCUUUGUAAAAGUCACAGAUUAUUAAGUCACAAAAAGUCACGUAGUGAUGAUCAUGCAUUUUCUUGAUGUUUAAGAUUCAUGCAUAAAAUGCAUGGAUAAGAACAUCAUCAAUCUAAAUAUUUAUUUAGAUAUUUUGGCUCUAAAUAUAUUUUUUCCAAAAUAUAUUGUCAAACAUAUGUAGUCCAGGAUUCAUUUAGUCUUUUUGUUAUUUUCCAUUACUCUCAUUUUCAAAUGUAAUAUUCAGAAAGUACUUCAAACACAAUAUAAAUCACUUAUGAACAUGUUCGCUAUAGCUAUUGUUAGCUACAUAUGCAUGCCGUUAAUUAAAUCACCUACAAAAUAAUAUUCCUUACUAGAGAGACAAACUAAAUUAGCCUCAGAUUUUCAUAAUAACUACAGCACUGUAUAAUUAAAUUGAAAUUCUCUCCAAGUGAACAAACUCAUAUGGCUACUCAUGAUGGUUAAAGAAGCCAUUCAUUUAGAGAAACUAAUGUUAUACACACCCAGAAUGGAAACUGAAAUACAAUUCUUUGCCCAUAGAAAACAAAAUGAAAUGAGUAAGCCAUGUCUAAUGAUAUAUAAAAAUAUUAUACUCAAAUCUCAUCUGUACUAAUGCCUUCUCUUCUGUAAAUUAUUUCUCAGCUUCCAGGUCUACAUGUUCUGUGUAUGAAACAUUCAAAUUCUUUACCCAGGAAAAUUUUCUUUCUGAUUCUGGAAUUGUUUCUGCAACCUGUAUUCUUACUCCAUUCUGUUAGAUGAAAUGAGCCCUGUCCUUAUUUUCUCAAGAUAGACAAUAAAAGAAGUA